rnacentral:rRNA from 1 species
GGUCAAGCGAGAAAGGGUCCAUGGAGGAUGCCUAGGAGCUCUCUGGCGAAGAAGGCCGUGGUAAGCUGCGAAAAGCUUGGGGGAGGAGCAAACAUCCCGAGAUCCCGAGAUAG